rfam:Thermoplasmatales archaeon B_DKE contig-31, whole genome shotgun sequence.
GGCUGAACUCGGCCGGGAAGCCAGGCACUUCCUGUUACCCGAAGUCUAUAUGCGGGGGCGACAGCCAGGGAAGACCAACCGGACUUCUGCCAGGCCCCAUGGAGUCCGUGAAAUUCUGUCCCUUUGGAUCGAAGGACCCGCAGGACAAACUCAAAGGAGACUGCCUUGCAGGCUUGCCAGAAGACUCCGCCAGGUCCGGAAGGGAGCAACGGUAUUCUGGACUCUUGAUGCUGAAGGGGUGCGGGACAGAGACAAAAUGGGGGGAACCUGACAGGACAUUCGGCCCAACCCUGGUGCGUUCAGCA